AUCACUUCUCGGCCUUUUGGAUAAGAUCAAGUGUAGUAUCUAAAUAUUAGUUUCUUUUUCAAAAUAAAUUUAUAGUUUGGCUGCAAUGUAAUAAGAAAAAAUAGACUCUGUUGUACUUCCACUUCCUGAAAUUAAGGAGUGUUCAGG
ensembl:snRNA U2 U2 spliceosomal RNA